AGUGAACGCUGGCGGUAGGCCUAACACAUGCGAGUCGAACGGCAGCACAGUAAGAGCUUGCUCUUACGGGUGGCGAGUGGCGGACGGGUGAGGAAUACAUCGGAAUCUACUUUUUCGUGGGGGAUAACGUAGGGAAACUUACGCUAAUACCGCAUACGACCUACGGGUGAAAGCAGGGGAUCUUCGGACCUUGCGCGAUUGAAUGAGCCGAUGUCGGAUUAGCUAGUUGGCGGGGUAAAGGCCCACCAAGGCGACGAUCCGUAGCUGGUCUGAGAGGAUGAUCAGCCACACUGGAACUGAGACACGGUCCAGACUCCUACGGGAGGCAGCAGUGGGGAAUAUUGGACAAUGGGCGCAAGCCUGACCCAGCCAUACCGCGUGGGUGAAGAAGGCCUUCGGGUUGUAAAGCCCUUUUGUUGGGAAAGAAAAGCAGCAGGUUAAUACCCCGCUGUUCUGACGGUACCCAAAGAAUAAGCACCGGCUAACUUCGUG
rnacentral:rRNA from 1 species